rnacentral:lncRNA from 1 species
GGUCAAAAUUUUUGUCAACUUGCCGCCGCUUAGGUCAAGAGUGCUCUCUUGGGUCUCCUGAAGAAACAGUAUUUUCUGGGGUCGGGAAGAAGAGAAGUGGUGGCUUUCGGGGCUAUGGACGACGGGAAGGAGUUGAGGAAUGACUUGGGGGCUAAGGAUGACGGGAAUGAGAUAGCCCUUCUUGAAGAAGAGUUGAUCCAUUUAUCGGUGAAAAGCUCUAUUGUAGAUCCUUUUGAAAAGCCAACACUGAUUUGUUCUGUUUGGACGAGAAAAAAUUACAAUCUGGACAGCCUGAGAGCACAAGUGAGAAGUAUCUGGAAAACCAAAAAGAAGUUUGAGAUUAUGAUUGCAGGCCAAAAUCUAUUCAAGAUAGUAUUCGAAGAUGAGGAAGACUUAGAGCAGAUUAUGAAUGGGCGACCAUGGUUCUUUCGAAAGCAAUUAAUUAUUUUUGAUCGUUUAACAAAAUUAGUAGAGCGAAACAAGAUCUGAUUGGUUUCUUCACUGUUUUGGCUAAAGAUCGGCCCAUGCCCAUCUGAGUGUGAUAAAAAGGAUCUGAUGCAUGCUGUGGGGUCCACGUUUGGGGGAAUUAUUCAUUCUAAGAUCAAAGGUGAUUUUUGUCGUAUUAGAGUUCAUCUAGAUGUUUAAAAACCACUUAGAAAAGGGAUUUUUGUCUCUCUAAACGACCAAGAUAAAGCCUGGCUUCUUUUCAAAUAUGAGUGUCUCCUAACGUUUUGCUUUGGGUAUAGUCACAUGGGUUACGGGAUUAAAGAUUGUCUAAUGUUAUCAGAGGGGGAUCGCAGCAAGGCGGAGGAUGAACUUCCUUUCUCGGUAGCACUUAAGGCAGAAUUGUCAGAUUAGGCAGGGAGAGCUUACUGUUUGGUUCUUUGCAGAAGAAAAUAAUGAAAAAAUGUUACUACAUCGGUUAGGAGGUAGCGGGUAAAGUUGAUAGUGUUUCAAUAGAUUCUGUACAACAGAUGCAUCGGAUGGUGAAAGAAGUUGGUUUAGAGAAGUCCUUUGAUCUUAGGGAAAUAGGGAUUUUGCGGCAAAAAUUUAGGGAUAAUGAAACAAAUUUUUAUCCUCAUAAUAUGCCGAGAGAAGUGGAAGAAAACUCCAGUAGGGAUCACUGUCGUGAGGGAAAUAGGUCAAAUUAAAUUUCUGAAUCAAACAGGCAAAUCGAACUGAUUGAGGCCUAACAAUUGAGUCAAAAGAAAUAUAGCUGGAGGCGCUUUUCUAGUAAAGAAUCUUUUGAUGCAAACAUGGCUGGGAUGAUAAUGGGGAAGCGAAAAUUUAAUCACGAGAAAUUGGAUGAUAUUGAAGCAUACCUUUCGGAUGAUGUUAAAACAAAAAGGGCAAAUUUUGACAGCAUAUGUUCGGCAGAUUUUGCAACAACUGAGCCUUCAUGCUUUGUUUUAACAGAUGUUAGUGACCCUUCACAAAUUAUAUCGACGGCUACCAAAUGGCAAGCCGACUGAAAACAAUGAAACUCUUAUGCUGAAAUGUCCGGGGAUUGGGGAAUCCCCGGGCUAUCAAGAGGCUUCACCACAUGUUAAAGCUUUACAAACCCCAAAUGGUCUUCUUAAUGGAGACAAAGCUGGAUCAAAACAGAAUGGAACGUGUUCGAAAGCGCUGUGGGUUUUAUAAUGGGCUGGAUGUUUCAGCUUUUAGUUCAAGGGGAGGUCUAAGCUUGGCUUGGAAUGGGAAUUUUUUAAUUCAAGUUCGUAGUUACUCAACUAAUCAUAUUGACGCUGAGGUUUAUGAAGAUGAUGACUCAAUUAAAUAUAGAUUUACCGGGUUUUAUGGGAACCUACGACAAGCAAAUAGACAAGAAUCUUGGAAUCUCUUUAGAAGAUUACGAAGCACCUAUACUUUGCCGUGGUGUGUAGGAGGUGAUUUUAACGAAAUAAUGUACACUCAUGAGAAAAAAGGGGGAGCAACAAGAGAUUGACGAUAAAUAGAGGAAUUUAGGCAAGCUCUGACAGACUGUGAAUUGGUUGAUAUGGGUUUCAAAGGGAAAAAAGUUGGGAAAGGGAAAUUUUGAGAGCACAAAUGUUAGAGAAAGACUUGAUAGGAGUGUGGCGAAUAGUGAAUGGUUAAACUUGUUUCACGAUUUCUCUGUUACCCAUCUUCCUCACUCUUAUUCUGACCAUUGUCCACUUUUUAUACAAACAGAGCUUAAUGAAUAUCCAGCUGGAAAGAAGAGGUUUAAAUUCGAAUCUUGGUGGAUACUGGAACCGUCUUGUGAAGAUGCCAUCAAGAAAUUGUGGACUAAAAAGUCAGGAGAUGCGCUGGAAAAAUUAGAUUAUCUUCGAGUUAAUCUUCAAAGAUGGGGGAAGACUAUCAAAGGAGAGCGUGAUAAAAGAUCGAAGGCUUUACGGAAAAGAUUGGCUAAAUUAGAAGGUAUGAAUAGGAAUGAUGAUAAUUUAGCUGAGAUGAUAACUGUAAAAUUGGAAUUAAAUUGGGAGAUGGAAAAUGAGGAAUUGUAUUGGGAACAAAGGGCUAGAGCAAAUUGGUUGCGUCAAUGGGAUAAAAAUACGGCUUUUUUCCACAGCAAAACAUCUCAAAGACAUAGGAUAAACAAGAUUUGGGGACUGGAAAACAUGGAAGGAGAUUUAAAAAUAGAGGAUACGAAUAUGGAAAGCAUCAUAAGGGAUUAUUUCAUGGGAUUAUUCCAAUCAAGUGGAGUUGGUGAUACAAACCGUCUUCUUUCGGGGGUUAAAAGGUGUAUUGGAGCGGACAUGAAUCAACUACUAAUAGAGAAAUACAAAGAGGAAGAAGUUGUCGAGGCAAUCAACAGUAUCGGGCCAACAAAAGCCUCCAGACCUGACGGUUUCCCAGUAAUUUUCUUUCAAAAAUAUUGGCACAUAGUGGGGAGGGAAGUCAGCAAUUUCUGCUUGGAAGUACUUAAUAAAGGUAAAUCUUUACAACUGCUGAAUCAUACGAAUAUAGUGUUACUUCCAAAAACGUCUCACCCAAGAAAUCCCACCAAUUUUAGACAUAUUAGUCUAUGCUCGGUGUUCUAUAAAAUCAUAUCAAAAUCUAUCGCAAACAGACUUCAAAAAGUUACGGAUCAUUGUAUCGAUUCUGCUCAAAGUGCGUUCGUUCCGAGAAGACUAAUUUCUGACAACGUACUUCUCGCCUACGAAAUUCUUCACAUUAUGAGAAAUAAAAGGGUGGGGAAAAAAGAUCUUAUGGCACUUAAGAUUGAUAUGAGUAAAGCAUAUGAUAGGGUGGAAUGGAAGUUUUUGGAAAAAAAUGAUGAUCACAAUGGCUUUUGAUGUGCGAUGGGUGGAGUGCAUAAUGCAUUGUAUUAGCACAGUGUCGUAUUCGGUGGUUUUAAAUGGCAUGCCAGGGAUGGUUUUUACUCCAAGAAGAGGCCUAAGGCAAGGGGACCCUUUAAGUCCCUUUCUAUUCCUUUUAUGCAGUGAAGGGCUGUCAACACUUUUAAGGCUUGCAACAGAGGAAGGAGUAUUGAAAGGGAUUAAGGCAAGUAGAAGGGGACCUCAAAUUUCCUAUCUCUUUUUUGCUGAUGACUGUGUUUUAUUUGGAGAAGUGACCGGCAAGGGUAUUGCAACGUUUGAAAAGGUGCUCAAGGAAUACGAAAUUUGUUCUGGAAAAUGUAUUAAUUAUAGUAAGUCAACUGUGUUUUUUAGCUCAAAUACCAUUGAAAAUGUUCGAUCUACCAUAUCGAAUCGUCUAGGACUGAAAAGGGCAAACAAUUCUGAGAAAUACCUAAGCCUACCGAAUAUGGUGGGAAGGAAGGAGCGUUUGGUAUUCCAACAUUUAAAGGAUAGCCUAAAGUUAAAGAUAGACAAUUGGAGUACAAGAUUAUUAUCGCAAGGCGGAAAAGAAGUGUUCAUCAAAGCCGUUUUACAAGCAAUCCCCACGUACACAAUGGCAUGUUUUCUUUUGCCGAAAUCAUUAUGUGAAGAAAUGGAACAAAUCAUCGCAAAAUUUUGGUGGCAAAAAGGUUAUGGGAAACGAGGUAUUCACUGGUGUUUAUGGAGCAAAUUAUGCGAGUUAAAAAAGAGUGGCGGUCUCGGAUUCCGCAAUUUGGCAAAAUUUAAUUUGGCCCUUCUCGCAAAACAAGGCUGGAAAUUAAUUGACGAUUCUAAUUCCCUUUUGGCUAGAACGUUAAAAGUUAAAUAUUAUCCGAAUACUGAUUUUUUAAAUUCAGGUUUAGGUAAUUUACCUUCCUAUACCUGGAAAAGCAUAUGGGCAGCAAAGGGCCUCUUACUAUCGGGAUUGUGCUGGAGGGUGGGGAAUGGCCAUGACAUUCGUAUAGAAGAAGAUGUUUAGGUCCCAAAUGUGCCAGGUCUACUGAUUAACAAAAAGGACAGAAUGCAGAACAUCAUAAUGGUUGCGGAUCUUAUUGACAGUAAUAUCAGAGCAUGGAAAACAGAGUUGAUUUGGAGUACCUUUUCGGAAGUUGAUGUUCCAAAGAUUCUGCAAAUCCCUUUGGCCCAGCGUUCACAAAAUGAUCUUUUGAUAUGGAGGGGUGAAGCAUCGGGUAAAUAUACUGUGCGUAGUGGUUACAAACUACUAUUACAAGGCAAUGAUUACAAUAGUAAUGGUUACAGUUUGCCUGAAAUUACAAAAUGUUACAAGAAACUGUGGAACUGUAAUCUCCCCUCAAAGGUACGUAUUACAGUUUGGAGAGCCACUCUCAACUACCUCCCUACCCUAGUGAAUUUAAGAAUCAAAAGAUUAACGAAUAACGCCAUCUGCCCGAGAUGUAAGCAAGGGCUGGAAACUAGGGAACAUAUUUUUCGCGACUGUGCUGCUGCGAAGGAAAUGUGGAAAAAAUUAAAUUAUGUAUGGUCACUCAAGUUAUCGCAUAUGGACUAUAUGGAGUGGUUUACCUGGGUAUUGUUGCACAGUAAAGAGAAAGAAUGCUACAUCUUUGUCUGUGCCAUUUGGGCUAUCUGGUCGAAUAAGAAUCAAUGGGUACACGGAGGACAUAAGAGAACUAGAACAGAAAUAGCGCAGUUUGUAAUACAGUAUUUACAGGAAUUACAAGAUAUGGAAAGAAAACACCAUGCCAAAUACUCAGUUUUAGAUUCAUGGAAGGCGCCGGAAAGCAGGUUCCUCAAAAUCAAUUUCGAUGCUCCUUUUGAUAAGGGGAAAAAUAUAUCUUGUUCAAGGGUAAUAGUCAAGAACUUUAAAGGUGAUGUAUUGGUUUCAAAAUCGGUCAUCCAUGACAAGAUUUCUUCAAGAUUUGCAGCAGAAGCCUUAGCAUGUUUGCAGGCGGUUAUGGUGGGAAAAGAAUUGGGGAUAAAAUAUGUUAUUUUCGAAGGCGACUCUCUGACAGUUAUAAAAAAAUGAACAAAAAAAAAGAUAAAUCGGUAAUCGGCCCUUAUAUUGAUGAUAUUCAAGAGCAGAAGGCGAAUUUUUAUGGAUGCAAAUUCCAGCAUGCAAAAAGAGCGGCAAAUAGAGCAGCACAUAACCUAGCAUCUGAAGGGUGAAAAUGGGGGUGAAUGCAUACUUUGUUCAUGAGCUUGUUACUCAAGUUCUCACCGAUUCAGAAAUUGAUAGGGGAUGGAGAUGAAGGCCAUCACUGAGUCAACACCAUCUCCAGCAAAUGAGAGAGUAGGAGAAAAAAUUUUAGAUCUCUAUGACUGUUUGUUUCUCCAAGAG